rnacentral:rRNA from 1 species
AUCGAUANUCCGCGUUAANUUUUACUUUAAUUAAAAUUUAUAUACCGCCAUCUUAAGAAUUAAUCAAAAAAUAUUAUUCAAAAAAAAAAAUAAAAAGUUAGGUCAAGGGGUAAUCUAUAUUGAAGAAAAGAUGAAUUACCCUAAAAACAAUUUAAAGAUUAAAAAUUAAAACCUUUAUAAAUAAGAAUUUGAAAGCAAUAUUAAAAAUAUUAUUAUAAUAUGAUUAAGAAAAGAAAUGUGCACCCAUCGCCC